rnacentral:lncRNA from 1 species
ACAAAAAAAAUAAGACAGACCAGGCCUAGGAGACAGAACUUCUCACUCUUAGCUUGGAAUGUUCCUUUUUGAGACAGACAGGGUCUUGCUCUGUCGCCCAGGCUGGAGUGCAGUGGUGCAAUCAUGACCCACUGCAGCCUCAACCUCCUCCCAUGCUCAAGUGAUCCUCCCGCCUCAGCCUCACAAGUAGCUUGGAUUACAAGCAUGUGCCACCACACCUGGCUAAUUUUGUAUUUUUGGUAGAGAUGGAGUUUCUCCAUGUUGGUCAGGCUGGUCUCGAACUCCUGACCUCAAGUGAUCCACCCACCUCGGCCUCCCAAAGUGCUGAGAUUACAGGCGUGAGCCACUGCACCCGGCCUCGGUUUGAUUUUUAAAAGAUUCAGGGUCCUCCACCUCAUUUUAAGCACAAACAGGAAUCAGGCUCUGUUCCACCCCAAACCUCUUGGAGUCUCACUAACAAGAUGCCUGUGGAAAUAACCACACAUUUGCAGAAGAGAAGACUGGAGGGCUUCAAAUGUCCUCUCCUGGCCAUACAGAAGUGUUUCUGUGUAAAGACGCAUUGGGGGACACCCAGUGAGCUAGGAGAUAUUCACCAUGGGAUCCCUAGAAAUGUUCUUAGCCCACCUAAGCUUCGGGGCCACGGGAUGGAGAGCUGUGUCCACCUGCACUCCUGAAAGAGAAGAGCAGGUUGGACAUAAAGAGCUUGGGAGGGCAAGCGCGGUGGCUCAGGCCUGUAAUUCCCACACUGGGAAGCCGAGGCAGGUGGAUCACUUGAGGCCAGGAAUCCAAGACCAACCUGGACAACACAGUGAAACCCUGUCUCUACCGACAAAUACAAAAAUUAGCCGAGCAUGGUGGUGCGUUCCUGUAGUCCCAGCUACUCAGGUGGCUGAGGCACAAGAAUCAUUUGAACCUGGGAGGCGCAGGUUGCAGGGAGCUGAGAUCACAACACAGCAACUCUGUCUCAA